rfam:Stegodyphus mimosarum contig5659, whole genome shotgun sequence.
GUCUUCUUGGUAUAGUGGUGAGCACACUCGACCCGUAACCGAGAGGUCUGUGGUUCGAGUCCCGGUGAAGGCA